rnacentral:ncRNA from 2 species
AACUUAUCCAGAGAGGUGGAGGGAUUUGGCCCUAUGAAACCUCAGCAACCGAUCGAUCGACACGGUGCUAAUUCCAAUAAGCGUAUGGCUUUGAAGAUAAGUU